CCCUUGCUGGUCUGGUGGCUAGGAUUCCUGGUUUUCAUCCAGGCUAUCCAGGUUCAAUUCCUGGGCAAGGAA
rnacentral:tRNA from 1 species